GUGCGGCUUAAUUUGACUCAACACGGGGAAACUCACCAGGUCCAGACACGACAAGGAUUGACAGAUUGAUGGCUCUUUUUUGAUUUCGUGGUUGGUGGUGCAUGGCCGUUCUUAGUUGGUGGAGUGAUUUGUCUGGUUAAUUCCGAUAACGAACGAGACCUUACCCUGCUAAAUAGCCCGGCCGACUUUGGUUGGUCGCUGGCUUCUUAGAGGGACUAUCGACGUCUAGUCGAUGGAAGUUUGAGGCAAUAACAGGUCUGUGAUGCCCUUAGAUGUUCUGGGCCGCACGCGCGCUACACUGACCGAACCAGCGAGUUUUUUUCCUUGGCCGGAAGGCCUGGGUAAUCUUGUGAAAUUCGGUCGUGAUGGGGAUAGAGCAUUGCAAUUAUUGCUCUUCAACGAGGAAUACCUAGUAAGCGUAAGUCAUCAGCUCGCGUUGAAUUCGUCCCUGCCCUUUGUACACACCGCCCGUCGCUAUUACCGAUUGAAUGG
rnacentral:rRNA from 1 species